AUAAUCCAAGAAAGAGAGAGGAGAGAGAAACUGAGAGAGGAGAUGAAACGAGAAAGAGAGAGGAGAAAUGAAACGAUGGAAAUAUCAGGGUUUGGUGUGGGCUUGUUGGGUAUUUAAAUACCCGUAAUUUUUAAAAAAAAAAAAUCAACUCUACGACGGCCAUAAACUGUCGCAAAUUACGAUGGUUUUCAAAACGGUCGUAAUUUACGAUAGUUUAUAACUGUCGUAAAUAUUAAUUUUUUUUAAUUAUUUUUACUAUCUAUUGCGACAGUUUUAUUGGCCAAAAACCAUCGUAAAUCAACGACAGUUUAAAAAAACCGUCGUAAUAUUACGACAGCUACUAAAACUGUCGUAAAAUUAAAAAAAAUUACGACAAUUUUGCUAGCUGUCGUAGAAAAUAUGUCGUUAUUUGCCCGGAUUUUAGUAGUGUAAACAUUUUAUAAGACUAACGGACUACUCCUUUUAUUAGCAUAUGAUUUUGAGAUGAAAUCUCCUUGGACUUGUGAAGUGGACUCUCUCUCUUAUUGCGGGUGCGACCAGACUCGUAUCUAAUAAGCAUGCGUAUUUGUCAAAGUGUGUGUAUAUAUCGUACAUAUACGUUUUAAAAUUCUUCCAAUAAUAGGCCAGGCUUCAGAUCAAUAUACAAUUUUACAUCAUCAUGUUCUACCUAUCUCCCCUUUUUUUAAGAAGUAUACAUUUCGUAAUAUAGUAUUGUUUCACUGUCUACUGUACGUAAUAUGCAAAGUCUUUGCAUGAAUAAAUAAUUGACCAUUAAUUCUUUGCACGUUACUCCUUACUAAAAUAGUCUUAAACCUGAUCACCUGCAUUUCCUUAAUCUAGAUUUUAUCUGCUCAAAAUAAAGGUUAUUUAUAUUUAAAAGCUCAUCUCAAACUACUCCUAAUUUCAAAUUAAUCAUAUAAUACAAAGCACGCACAAAAUACAAAAAUAUCCAUGAAUAUGAGCUUAUUCGUUUCAACAAAGCCAUCAACUUGCAUUAAUUUUCAUAAUAUUAGUUUAAACUCAAACAGCAGGCAAUCUUCUUUGGGUUCAAAAUCAAGAUUUCAUCAUAAUCUUAGCUCCUUGAGACCAAGUCAAAGGCAGCGUUCGUUAACUGUUAGAAGCAGCAUCGACCAGUUCCGCCACCAACCCCUUCAAGUCCCACGCCUGCUGGAUUUCCUGGCAGGAAAGGAUGGAUAGCAGGAGCAGUCCUAGCAUUUUUGCUAUCAGUCUUGAAGGGCAAAUGGGGGCCUUUGUUCUUAUUAAGAAAGGAAGUUGACCAGAAAUUACAGACGGUAGAAGAUGUGGCGGAGGGAUUGGAAAAGUUGGCAGAUAAGGUGGAGCACAUGGCUGAGGACAUUGGCGAGAAACUUCCAGAAGGAUCAUCACUUAAAAGGGUAGCCACUUUAAUUGAGGAUGCUUCUGAAAAGGUGGAAUUAGCUGCUCAUCUAACUGAUACAGCCAUUGACAAGAUUCAAGAAUUAGAAGACCAAAUGGAUUCGUAUGCAAAGUCAGAACAAACAAAAGCAAGCCAGUCAAUUGAAGAAAAUAAUACAAGUAAUAAUAACAAACCAGCAUCAUAAAAUCUACUUCGUAUAUUGUUAUUUUUAAUCCGAUUUAAUGUUAUUUGAUGUUUUGUACUAGUUAUAUAAGUACCAUUUAUAAAGCUUACGCGAAGCGUUGCUUCUUGUCUAUGUGGUUGUGUAAUACUCAAGUGUACGUAACAUAAAUUUAAUUAAGAAAGAAUCAUUGACAUACUGCAGUACGUAGUUCGUAGUACUUCUCUAAUAUAUAAGUGAUGGGACUGUUUAUGGCUUGUAAAUUGUGUUUCCUUUUUUCAUAAAUUUUAUCUUAAGUUUACAUUUGUGCAUUGAAGAACAAUAGAACAACACAAACGGUUAAGCCAAAACUUACAUGCAUCUUUAGCUAUAUCAUUUCAAUACGUACUCUAUCAUCAAUAAACGAAGAAAGGAAUCCUUUUGAUUAACUCCACACCUUUAAAAUUUAAUCAUAUAAAAGUCAAUGAAAAAUGUAGAUGCAAAAAUAGAUCGAGAAUUAUAUUGCACCAGUUCAAGUACAAACAUUUAAUUAUAUUGCACCAGGAUGUUUUGCACCGGUGCCAAAAGAAAUGGGCGGGAUUGGAAAAGAGUUGGCACCAGUUCCAACCAAAACCGGUGCCAAAUCAUUUAAUUAGCACCGGUUCAAACCGGUGCCAACUUUAAAAAAAAAUAAAUAAAUAAAAACAAAAGAAUGCAAUAGAGUUGGCACCGGUUCGCCUUAAACCGGUGCCCACUAUUGUAAUUAGCACCGGUUUAAACCGGUGCCAUUUAUAAAAAAAAAAAAAAACCCGGUUUAUGUCUCUCUUCUUCUUCGCUCCUUCAUUCGAUUUUCAAUUCAUUCCCACGUUUUUCCCUCUUCUCUUUGCUUCCACCCCUAAGCUAGAUAGGUUUCACUUACUCCAUUGAAGUGGUGUUCGAGCUUUCUCACUUUCAUUGAAGUAGUUGCCGCCGCACACACCACCUUCUCUUCACUCCAUAUCCAUCAAUCCUCCAUUGAAGCAGCUUCGAGGUAAGUAACGUACCUAGGUUUCACUUACUCCAUUGAAUUUCUUACCAUUCUUGGGUUUUUUUGAGGAUUUGCUUUUCAACUUAAUAAUUAUAAGUUUCUUGUAAUCUAGGGUUUGUCAAUUAAACGUGCACGGCUCCCCCUCCACAACGAUCCUCCCCAUACUUGUAUAUGGUUAUGAAAUGUAAGUCCUUAGUGUUAUAUGUAUGGAGAAAAUUAUACUGACUAUGUCUAGAAGUUGAUGGUGAUGUUUUUGUUAUUUUUCUGCUAGUUGGGGUUGCUGCUUGGCUGCUGUUUUGAUGCUGAUUUCCUGUGCUGGGUGGUUUUGUUAGCUGUUGUAGUUGUCAGAUGAUUGGCCUGUUCCUACCUGCUCGCCUGUUCUGCGGGCAACUAUUGCUACCAGCUGCAUUGUUUUUGUGAUGAUGUGAUAUUGUGAUACUGUGAUGCUGUGUUGCUGUGAUAUGUCAAGGAAACUAUAAGCCUGCUUAGAUAUGUUGUUUGUUAUAGUUGUUCUUUUUGUGUUUUCCCUUUUGUGGUUGUUGUGGUUUGUUGCCCUAGUCCAUGUAAAGAGUACCCACCCUAGAAGGUGCAUUUUUACUUGAGUCCAAGUUAGGUUUUGCUCCUUCUUGUUUUAUGAACCCGUCCUAGAAGGUGGCCUUUAAACAGUUUGAGGUUGUUUGGGGGUUACAAUUUAGCUAAUUUUGUAAGUUAUAACUGUUAUUCUUUGGUGUUGUUGGAUUGAUCUUUCGAAAUUAAAAGAUCCUAGCUACUUGUUAUUAAAUGGGUGAAAAUUUGUUCAUCUAGACCAAACUUGCCAAAUGCCAGUGCGUGGUUGCUUCAAUUGCUAGCUUUUGCAUAAUCUAUCCCUAUUUUCUCUCUCAUUCCUUAAUCAUAUGACCCUAUUUUUUCUUAUUAUCCAUUUCUCAUACUUACUAACUUAUGAUUUUUGUUUUGUUUUUUCUUUUUGUGUUUUUAUAGAUUCAUAUGUGAAUUGAA